rnacentral:rRNA from 1 species
CCUACGGGAGGCAGCAGUGGGGAAUAUUGGGCAAUGGGCGCAAGCCUGACCCAGCAACGCCGCGUGAAGGAAGAAGGCUUUCGGGUUGUAAACUUCUUUUCUGGGGGACGAACAACUGACGGUACCCCAGGCAUAAGCCACGGCUAACGACGUGCCAGCAGCCGCGGUAAUACGUAGGUGGCAAGCGUUAUCCGGAUUUAUUGGGUGAAAAGGGCGUGUAUGUGGUUUGAGCAGUUAGAUGUGUAAUAACCAGGGCUUAACACGGGUGCUGCAUCUGAGACUGUUAGACUUGAGUACUGGAGGGGAUAGUGGAAUUCCUAGUGUAGCGGUGGAAUGCGUAGAUAUUAGGAGGAACAUCAGUGGCGAAGGCGACUAUCUGGACAGCAACUGACACUGAGGCACGAAAGCGUGGGGAGCAAACAGGAUUAGAUACCCGUGUAGUC